UAGUGUUGACACUGCAAAGAGAAAAGCAUCCACUCACUUCCUAUCUAGUAAAACCUUUGAUCCUCGUUGAUGUCGCCCUCUGCCACGUGGUUCCACCUUUUCACUUCCCAGUCCCACUCUAUAAAUCUCUCUCUAUAUUUAUUUUCAUCGUCCCCAUUAAUUUGUUCAUCGAUCAGUUCAACACAGAGCAGGAGAAGAGCAGAGCAGAGAAGAGAAGAGAUGGACCGUGGAGGCUUUCAUGGCUACCGCAAGCUCCCCAGCACAAGCUCUGGGUUGAAGCUAUCUGAGAUGAACAUGAGGCUGGACGAGAUCAAUCAUGGAAACAGCAAUAACAAUACCAACAAUGUCAAUCACUCCACCAUAGAUGACAACGAAUGCACUGUGAGGGAGCAAGAUAGGUUCAUGCCAAUUGCAAAUGUCAUCAGGAUCAUGCGCAAGAUACUUCCCCCUCAUGCCAAAAUCUCUGAUGAUGCCAAAGAAACAAUCCAAGAAUGUGUUUCUGAGUACAUCAGCUUCAUUACUAGCGAAGCCAAUGAGCGCUGCCAACGCGAGCAGCGCAAGACUAUUACUGCUGAGGAUGUGCUUUAUGCUAUGAGCAAGCUAGGCUUUGAUGACUACAUUGAACCCUUGACUGUGUAUCUUCAUCGCUAUCGCGAGAUUGAGGGUGAGCGUAGCUCGAUAAGAGGUGAGCCGUUGGUGAAGAGGAAUGUUGAAUUUGGUACCUUGGGGGUUGGAGCUGCUGCCUUUGCACCAGCAUUUCACAUGGGUCAUCACCAUGGAUUUUUCGGCACAGCUGCCAUGGGAGGAUAUAUGAGGGAUGCUUCGAAUGAGAGUUCCUCUCAGGUUGCACUGACUAAUGGUGAAGCAUUUAGCCAGAAUAAAUGAGUUCAUAGGGAAUUCUACACUAACCUAGUCAAUUAGGGAAGAAACUGAGAGGUUAGUGUUCGGAACUUGUGUAACAGAUCCAAGAAGGCAAGAACCUAUUUACUUUUCUGUUUGCUUUUUCUAUUAUCAAGUGUUCUUUUCUUUAUUGAUGUGUGUUG
rnacentral:misc_RNA from 1 species